rnacentral:rRNA from 1 species
UACGGGGGGAGCAAGCGUUGUUCGGAUUUACUGGGCGUAAAGGGCGCGUAGGCGGCGCAACAAGUCACUUGUGAAAUCUCCGGGCUUAACCCGGAGCGGUCAAGUGAUACUGUCGUGCUAGAGUGCGGAAGGGGCUACUGGAAUUCUCGGUGUAGCGGUGAAAUGCGUAGAUAUCGGGAGGAACACCAGUGGCGAAGGCGGUUACCUGGAGCGGUACUGACGCUGAGGCGCGAAAGCGUGGGUAGCAAACGGG